rnacentral:ncRNA from 1 species
AUGGGCAGGGAUAAAAACACAGCCCCGGUUGGUAGUCCGGGCGCGGCGGACCGCCGUCAGUAACCCUCCUCCUAGGUUGUCCGUUCCCUGCUCCCACAGA